rnacentral:rRNA from 1 species
GGCUCAGGAUGAACGCUAGCGGCAGGCCUAAUACAUGCAAGUCGAACGGUAACAUGAGUAGCAAUACUUGAUGACGAGUGGCGCACGGGUGCGUAACGCGUAUGCAACCUACCUUUAACCGGGACACAACAUCGAGAAAUCGGUGCUAAUAUCCCAUAACAUCAUAAAGAGGCAUCUCUUAGUGAUUAAAGCUCCGGCGGUUUUAGAUGGGCAUGCGUGACAUUAGCUAGUUGGUGAGGUAACGGCUCACCAAGGCUGCGAUGUCUAGGGGUUCUGAGAGGACAUUCCCCCACACUGGUACUGAGACACGGACCAGACUCCUACGGGAGGCAGCAGUAAGGAAUAUUGGUCAAUGGGCGCAAGCCUGAACCAGCCAUGCCGCGUGCAGGAAGACGGCCCUAUGGGUUGUAAACUGCUUUUGUACGGGAAAAACCCCGGGUUUCGUACCUGGGCUGAUGGUACCGUAAGAAUAAGGAUCGGCUAACUCCGUG